CUUCUCCUUUUUUUUCCUCCUUCUGGCAAGAAGUUAGCGUUUCUAAGAAGCUGGCCUGGGGACCAGUUCCUGGAGAGGCCAGGUGGGACGGUCACAUCUCAGAGGCACAGGAAAAGAGUGCAGGUUCCUCCGAAAGGGACUUUUCUUUCCCUAGUCCAGGUCUUUUACAGGCUCUGCAACCUUUUGUGAUCAUCAGGGAACAUUCUGGGGCUGCUGCACAGGAUAGAGGGGCUUUGAGUUGCUUCUGGAGCUGCAUUUCUGUCCCUGCCAAGCCUAGCUUUCUAAAACAGGGACAGUUGGGGAAUGAGGCUGCAGGGUGACGGACGUCACAGCCUGUCCCUCCCACCCAACUACAAUGUCUUCCGUUUGCUGCUUUAGAUCAGGAAGAUGCUCUUCAACCAACAGAGCAGAAGAUUCCUGCGCCCUGCAUGUAGCGCUUUGUCUCUGGAAUGUUUUCCCUUCCCUCUGGGCACAUGGGUUCACUUAGAUUUAGGAGAUUUAAAAAAAAAAAAAAAGUUCCUACAGGCUCUGAAUAUCAGCUUCCAGUUUGGCCAAUUUGUGACCAGCGAGCUGCUGAAACAAGCCUUUCCAGUAUCUUGGCAGGGGCACAAACGGUAAAUAUUCUGGGCAGCACUGAAAGACCCCGUGGACGCAAGGGGCCUUCCCAAGGAGGGUGCAGAGCCAGUCCCAGGGACAGCCAGGAAGACCGACCUAGUCAGUCCCCAAGGGCCGGCGCCCCGCGCAGGGCACGCAGCCUCCAAUGGGGGGGCUACUUCCAUUUCGAUCACAUCUCCCCCCCCCACCCCGACAUCACCAAAGUCAGGACACAAAAGAUGAGACAAACACGGAGGCAACAGUCUUGUCACUUGAAUUCCAGGACGCUGCAUUCUCCAGGUUGCCCUCCUUCCAAUCUCCUUGGUAGCUUUUCUUCACAUUCCCAAGGUCCCAGAGCUCAGCUUCCUCUUUUUCUUUUUUUUCUCCUUUUCCUGUCUUUUUAAGGAUACACCCACGGCAUAUGGAGGUUCCCAGGAUCGGGGUCGAAUCAGAGCUACAGCUGCCAGCCUACACCACAGCCACAGCAACGUCAGAUCCGAGCCACAUCUGCGACCUACACCACAGUUCACAGCAAUGCCGGAUCCUUAACCCCCUGAGCGAGGCCAGGGAUUGAACCCGAAACCUCAUGGCUCCUCCUAGUCAGAUUCAUUUCUGCUGUGCCAUGACAGGAACUCAAGUCUUCCUCUUUAUUGUCCGCAGCCGCUUCCUGUAGCUCUCACCUUGUCCCGUGGUUUUAAAUGUCAUCUGUAGGCUGAUGCACCUGUAUUCAUCCUAAGCCUGGACCCCUGUCUGAAACUUGUAUAUCCUCCAGCCACUCAACAUCUCCAGGUGAGUGUCUAACAGGCUAACAGUCCCAAAACUGAGUUUCUGACCUUCCUUCCAAACCCGCUCCAUCAAUGACCUGCCUCAGCUCAGUUACAGGCAACUCCAAUCUUCCAGGGCUCAGGCCAAAAUCCUUGUAAUCACCACGAUGAUGUUCCUUGCACCUCCAUCCACAGCUAACCAAAAGGAUGCGAAAUCCCUGCCCCGAGGAGAUGGAUCUUCUACUGGGGGUGGGAGGAGGGAGAAGAUACAAGUAAACUAUUUAAGGCAUAGAAGAGAGGAAGAAAGCAAGGCCAGGCAGUGAGGCCCAGCCUCUGACAAGGAGGAACGGCUUUGCCUCCAAGUAAGCUACGCAAAGUUGGUGAGCGGGGAGGUCCAGACAGACCUCCGUAUUCAACCUGGUGUAAAAAGACAGGUGAAGCCACCCUCCAAGUGAGAAGGGACAGACAAGGAGGCAGGCUCAGGAUGGAGCAGAGUCACAGAUGAGAACAGCCCCGUGAGGAAAAGAGGUGGCGCGUGUCCUCAGGGCCCAGCUGACACUGGACCCUUGGGGGCAUGAGUUCUCUCCAGCCCUGGGCGUGGCAGUGUGACAGGAAGACUAAGGGGAAGAGAGAGGUCGGC
ensembl:lncRNA